UCCGGGUAUACCCUUCUUGAGCCUCUAAAAAAGUUUAUUGCAUGAAAAUGAUUUGGAGAUUUAGUUUCUGAAAAUUAUCUAUUCAUGUACCAGUCAAUGUGCACAUACUACUUAUACAGGAGCCAUUCAACUCUGGCCUAACCAGUUAUUGAAAUUUAAUAAUGAGGGUCAAUUCAGGAUGAAAUUAAACUGUCACUAAAAAAAUGAUUUAAAUCAAUUAGAUCAUGUCGAUUUCAUUCAAAUCUGCCAUAUUAAUUCAUGAUAGUUGACCUUGUAUUAUAAGUUCACUACAAGACUGCACUGGUACAAUCAGGAGCUUGUUUGAAGUUGUAUCCAUUUUGAAAAAAACCUUGGGGUCACUUUUUCCUUUCCUUUUUCAUUAAUUAUAAAUUUUCUGUCAUCUGACAGUUAAUAUUUGUGUUUUUGUGUAAGAUUACAUUCAAAAGUUCAAGGUUUCCUUGUACAAACUUGCUUUCAUGAUGCAGUGAUUAAAGUUUUACAUUUGUUGGUGUCAAACACCUCCAGCUCUUUUCAUUACCAAUCAUUUUUUCAUAGUCCUUAGUUAUACAUCCAAAAGUAUGUUAAAUUUUUGAAAGUCACUGCAGUUAUAGAUUUUGAAUUAUUCAAGAUUUCUGUUUCCUUUACAAAUAAAAUACAUAUUCCAUUUAAAUUGAAACCAUCGAUCCUUCAUUUAAAG
rnacentral:lncRNA from 1 species